AAUAUUUUAUAUAUGUUAUUAGUUAAUAAAAUAAAAUUUAGUUUAUAAAUUAAUAUAAAGUAUUAUUGUUUUAGUAUUUAAUAAAGAAUAAAUUAUAUAUUAUUGUACUGUAAAGGAAAUUUGAAAUAAUUGAAAUAAUAAAUUAAUAUAAAGUAGAUUUAUUAUUGUACCUUUUGUAUCAGGGUUUAUUAAAUAUAUUUAAAUAAAUUUAUUUUCUCGAAUUAAAGAGGGCUAAAUUAUUAUGUUUGUUAAAGUGGCAAAUUUAUAUAAAAUAAUAAUUUAGUAAUGAAAUAUUAUUCGGUCUUUAAGAUAUUUAGUUUUCCAAGAAAUGAAUUUAAUUCAGGUAUUAUUAGAAAUUAAUUUAUAAAAAGUUUAGUUUUAAUAUAGUACUAAAUUUUUAGGGGAUAAGCUCUAAAAAUUUCUAAAUAUUUUAUUUAAGGUAAGUUUGUAAGCUUGGGGUUAGCUAUCAAUUAAAUUAUGUAAUAAUUUACUUAUAAUAAUAUUUAUUUAUAAUGUAUAUUAGGUAGAUAUUGAAAUGUUAUUAAAAAUGAUAUAUAAUAAUUAAUAAUGGUAAAAUUAUUAUAAUAGAAUAGUAUAAAUAGUAAAAUCUUAAAUAAGGAACUCGGCAAAAUUUUACUCGCCUGUUUAUCAAAAACAUCGUCUUUUGAAUAUAUAGAAGAUAUAACCUGCCCACUGAAGAAUUAAAGGGCCGCGGUAUUGUGACCGUGCAAAGGUAGCAUAAUCAUUAGUCUUCUAAUUAAAGGCUGGAAUGAAUGGUUGGACGAGGUAAAAGCUGUCUCAUUUAAGAUAUUUAAAAUUUAACAUUUUAGUGAAAAGGCUAAAAUAAAGUUGGAGGACGAGAAGACCCUAUAGAGCUUAAUAAUUUAGUUAAUAUGAAAUAUAGUAUAAGUUUUAUUAUUGAUGAAAUUAUUUUGUUGGGGUGACAGGAAAAUAAAUAAACUUUUUUAAAAUAUUUACACUGAUGAGUGAUUUUACGAUCCGUUAUUAAUGAUUAUAGGACCAAGUUACCUUAGGGAUAACAGCGUAAUCCUUUUUGAGAGUUCUUAUCGACAAAAGGGUUUGCGACCUCGAUGUUGGACUAAGAAAAUAUUUGGGUGUAGAUGUUCAAAUGUUAGGUCUGUUCGACCUUUAAAUUCUUACAUGAUCUGAGUUCAGACCGGUGUGAGCCAGGUUGGUCUCUAUCCUCAAUAUAAAAUAGUAUUUUAGUACGAAAGGACCAAAUACUUAAGAUAAUCUUUAUAAUAGAAUACUAUU
rnacentral:rRNA from 1 species